rnacentral:rRNA from 1 species
GCAGAGUCACUCCUACGGGAGGCAGCAGUGGGGAAUAUUGCACAAUGGGCGCAAGCCUGAUGCAGCCAUGCCGCGUGUAUGAAGAAGGCCUUCGGGUUGUAAAGUACUUUCAGCAGUGAGGAAGGUGGGUAUGUUAAUAGCAUACUCAUUUGACGUUAGCUGCAGAAGAAGCACCGGCUAACUCCGUGCCAGCAGCCGCGGUAAUACGGAGGGUGCGAGCGUUAAUCGGAAUUACUGGGCGUAAAGCGCAUGCAGGUGGUUUGUUAAGUCAGAUGUGAAAGCCCGGGGCUCAACCUCGGAAUUGCAUUUGAAACUGGCAAACUAGAGUACUGUAGAGGGGGUAGAAUUUCAGGUGUAGCGGUGAAAUGCGUAGAGAUCUGAAGGAAUACCGGUGGCGAAGGCGGCCCCCUGGACAGAUACUGACACUCAGAUGCGAAAGCGUGGGGAGCAAACAGGAUUAUAUACCCUGGUAG